UGGAAUGGGAUUCAACUCAUUUGUCUUCUUGUAGUGUACAAUAGGUUUGGCCUAGAGAACAGCAUGCUAAAUUGGACCUUGGAAAGCCUGCUCUGCCUUUGACCUGCUGGAUGAUCUUUGGCUUAAAUGUGUCUUUUUCUGACACAGAAGAUAGGGAUGAUGAUAGCGCCUCUUGUAAAGCACUUAGAAAGCAAAGAAGUCCCAUAUGGAAGACAUAUCAUGUUAUCACACACAAGAAACGUGAUUCUGCAGAACUGAAAAAUCCAAAGAUAAUGAAAAUUCAUAAAGAAUUGAUAAAAGAAGAGGAAGUAUUAGGGAUAUUCCUGAAGAAGCUGUAUCAGUAGGGGAGUUUCUAUUACAGAAGCACUUCAUAAUAAGAUAUCCUUCAAGCACUAGCAGUGAUAACCAUUUAAGCUUCCCACAAGUGCAUGGCAACAGGAGUCACAAAUUAUGAAGAGAACAAAAGCAUGACAGCAAAUAUCUUGCAGCUUUCUUCAUCACUACAGAAGAAGCCAGUGACAUGGACAGGCUGCUUUGCUCACAAUAUUGCAUCAGGAGGUAUGAAAAGGGAGGACAUGGCAUACUGCUUCCUCUUCCAAAAAAUGGCUUGUUUUACAAAUCAGUGACCAGAAACAGCAGUGAACACAAGAGGCAUGGAGCUCUGAAAGGUCACAGCUUAGAGGUGGGUGGAGGUACACCUGCAUGGAGAUCAUCAGUGAAGAACCCUCUGUGGCUACAACCCUACUCUGGGGAACACUAAGGAUUCUUUAAAAUGUGGUGCAUAAUAUUGCCUACAAUCAUUGUCACAAAUUAAAGUUUCCUUUCCUUCCAAAUUAAAGGCCUUCCACAGAAUUCAGGAUUCGGCCAUGAGAGAAGAGUCUCCUUUAGUAUCUACAGAUAUUGUAUAUGAAGUUUAAGCACUACUGUUUAUUGUGUUUUUUCACAUGUGUAAUUUAUCUGGAUUCUGCAGGUAGAUUUUUUUUUACAUUUGUCCUUUGGUGUUAAUGUAUUUUUUGUAGAAUAUGUGUAAAUAGAUAUGAGCAAACUGUGUAAAAGUUAUUCAGCUACCCAGUGAACCAUGUAAUCUGUUGAUUCAUAGAGACAACAGAUAAUAGAGUGAGAUAUUUGCUUUACACUGUCUGUAUAGUAUCUAGGCACAGAGUCAAUUUGUGUCCUGUCGGGGCAUGUUGUACCACACUAUAUUAUCACUUUGAGGAUAGGCAAUUUGGGUAAUGAAUAUGUGAGCUGGUGGGGGUGGAGAAGUAUCUCUGAUAUUAUCUAUAAAGUGGAAAUGUUGAUCCAAGGUUUUGGCUUCAUCCUGGUUAAUACAAAGCACUAAUACCACAGACAAGCUCUUUUGCUAUCUUGGAAACAGUAUUGUUAAUUAGCUUCUACCUUCACCUCUAUCAUAUCAUAAAAAUGAAAACAAUGUACUAAACACUGACAUUUUCUUUGUACAGCAGGUAUGAGUAAAAAUGCCAUCCCUGUGGGAAAACACAAAAAUUAAAUGGGAGUAAAUGAGCAUUUUGAGAGCAGUUGAAAGAAAAUAGUUACUAUUUGUUAUGCUUGAUCCAAGGAUCCAUUUGACCAGGUUGUGGUUAUCCUCAGCUACUGCAACAGCCCAUCACUGUACCUCUGUUCCAGCCGCUCCCAACAGCCCUGGGGUAGACAUCUGUGCAAAUGAGCAGGAGGUGCAGUGUAAUGACAAAUAGGCCACCCUCUAUCCACUCUCCAGAAUAUUCUUCAUAGCAUCAGAUUUUUGUUUUCUUGUUAAUCCUUCUCUUAACAGAUGAUCUUGCAAGCUGUUGACAUUGGCGUGACUUUUCCAGGAAAGUACCCCCAGAUUCCUGACAGGUAUUUACGAAAGGGAAUUUGUGAAAAAGAGAUGUUCCAGAGCUGAACUUCUUCCUCUGCACCAAACAUCUCCCCUGAUAUGCUGACAGUAUGUUGUGCAAUGCAGGAAAGCUGUACCUAGGUUCUAUGUCAAGUGUCAGAAUGGGUUUAACUGUGUUGCUCCAGACCUCUGCCCACAAUAAUUUGCACUUUUAGUACAGAAAUGCAGGUUAAUAGACUUAAAUUGCUUCUCUCUAGAACCAGCACAACUGAACUUGUUUGAAGAUGGCUCCAAUAUUGCAAUGCAGUCAGGGUAACAGGUGAGUUUCACAGUCAAAUAUACAGGUGAUCCAAAUAAAUCCACUAAACUGUAUCCUGUGUAAUGGCAGUAGCUAGACUCUGUCAAGCUGAAAUUAGCUCCAUCCAUUAGCUUUUCCUCAUUUUCUGAUCCUGCCAUCAUCACCUGGAGUCAUUGCUGAGAUUUGAAGCCUGCUGAGGAGAGGGGGAACGAGCUAUCCACCCACACUGUGGGUGACUGUCACAUCAAGGAAAUCUCCAUACAUCAGAUAUGAAGCCAAACAGCAAAGGCUUAAAAAUGGAAAAGCUGGG